UUCAUUCGGCGAAAGUGCAUCGACGAUAUGAUAAAAUAUAUUGAGGAGGAUGUAGAAGCGGCGCUUGCACGAGGAGAAACAGGGGAGUUGGUGGUAUCUCACUAUGUCUUUGUCAUGGCAUUUAACCUGAUAGGCAACCUCGUUAUUUCGCAGGAUCUUUUGAAUUCUCAUUCGAAAGAGGGGCCUGAGUUCUUUGAAGCCAUGGACAAGGUCAUGGAGUGGAGUGGGAAGCCAAACUUAGCUGACUUCUUGCCAUUUUUGAAGGGGUUGGAUC
rnacentral:misc_RNA from 1 species